UACGAAGGGUGCAAACGUUGCUCGGAAUCAUUGGGCGUAAAGCGCACGUAGGCGGCCUCGCAAGUCGGAUGUGAAAUACCUAGGCUCAACCAAGGACGUGCAUCCAAAACUGCAAGGCUUGAGUACAGAAGAGGAUCGCGGAAUUCCCGGUGUAGAGGUGAAAUUCGUAGAUAUCGGGAGGAACACCAGUGGCGAAGGCGGCGAUCUGGGCUGAUACUGACGCUGAGGUGCGAAAGCGUGGGGAGCAAACAGG
rnacentral:rRNA from 1 species